UGGCGAAAGGGUGAGUAACGCGUGAGCAAUCUACCUUUAAGUUGGGGAUAACUUGGCGAAAGCCGGGCUAAUACCGAAUGUGGUCGCUCCCGAUAGCGGGAGUCGACUAAAGACGGGGAUCCUUCGGGACCUGUCGCUUGAUGAGAAGCUCGCGUCCUAUCAGCUUGUUGGUGAGGUAAUGGCUCACCAAGGCUUACGGGUAGAGCUGGUCUGAGAGGAUGGUCAGCCACACUGGGACUGAGACACUGCCCAGACUCCUACGGGAGGCUACAGUCGAGGAUCAUUCGCAAUGCGCGAAAGCGUGACGAUGCGACGCUGCCUGUAGGAUGACGGCCUUCGGGUUGUAAACUACUGUCAUCCGGGAGCAAUGAUUCCGGCAAUAACAUUGUCGGGAUGUGAUAGUACCCGAAAGAGGAAGCCACGGCUAACUCUGUGCCAGCAGCCGCGGUAAUACAGAGGUGGCGAGCGUUGUUCGGAUUUACUGGGCGUAAAGGGUGCGUAGCGGCUUUGCAUGUCGGAUGUGAAAUCUCACUGCUCAACGGUGAAACGUCAUUCGAAACUGCAAGUCUGGAGUACAGGAGAGGAGAGCGGAAUUCUUGGUGUAGCGGUGAAAUGCGUUGAUAUCAAGAAGAACACCGGCGGCGAAGGCGGCUCUCUGGUCUGUUACUGACACUGAGGUACGAAAGCUGGGGGAGCGAACAGGAUUAGAUACCCUGGUAGUCCCAGCCGUAAACGGUGUGCACUUGGUGUGGGGGGAAUUGACCCCCUCCGUGCCGGAGCUAACGCGUUAAGUGCACCGCCUGGGGAGUACGGCCGCAAGGUUAAAACUCAAAGAAAUUGACGGGGGCCCGCACAAGCGGAGGAGCAUGUGGCUUAAUUCGAUGCAACGCGAAGAACCUUACCAGGGCUUGACAUGUAGCUGCAUGCCACCCGAAAGGGAGGCAGCCUUCCAGGUGCUGCACAGGUGCUGCAUGGCUGUCGUCAGUUCGUGCCGUGAGGUGUUGGGUUAAGUCCCGCAACGAACGCAACCCCUGUGUUUAGUUGCUAGCGUGGGUGUUAAGCCUGCGCGCACUCUAGACAGACCGCCCGUGUAAGCGGGAGGAAGGUGGGGAUGACGUCAAGUCAGUAUGGCCCUUAUGCCCUGGGCUGCACACGUGCUACAAUGGCCGGUACAGUGGGAAGCAAGACCGCGAGGUGGAGCCAAUCCCCAAAACCGGCCUCAGUUCGGAUUGGAGUCUGCAAUUCGACUCCAUGAAGUUGGAUUCGCUAGUAAUGCCGUAUCAGCUACGACGGCGUGAAUACGUUCCCGGGCCUUGUACACACCGCCCGUCACAUCAUGAAAGCUUUGUGCACUCGAAGUCGCUGUACCAACUUUUACGAGAGGAAGGCGCCGAAGCCGAAGGAGUGGGAAGUGAUUGGGAUG
rnacentral:rRNA from 1 species